rnacentral:rRNA from 1 species
UACGAAGGGUGCAAACGUUGCUCGGAAUUAUUGGGCGUAAAGCGCACGUAGGCGGCUUAGCAAGUUGGAUGUGAAAUCCCUCGGCUCAACCAAGGAAGUGCAUCCAAAACUGCUGAGCUUGAAUACUUAAGAGGAUCGCGGAAUUCCCGGUGUAGAGGUGAAAUUCGUAGAUAUCGGGAGGAACACCAGUGGCGAAGGCGGCGAUCUGGGAAGAUAUUGACGCUGAG